rnacentral:misc_RNA from 1 species
AAGUCGUAACAAGGUUUCCGUAGGUGAACCUGCGGAAGGAUCAAUACAAAAAGGAGGCCGGGUCGGGUUGGGGCGGUCCGCGGACACUGCGGGUCGCAACACCGACGGCCACAUAUGCCCGGACCAGCGGUCCGCGACAUUUGCGCGUGUAGAGUUUGACAGAGUGGUUGGCUCGGAAGAAACAACUUUUAACAAUGGAUCUCUUGGUUCCU